AGAGGGUGCAAGCGUUAAUCGGAAUGACUGGGCGUAAAGGGCGCGUAGGUUGUUACAAAAGUUGGGUGUAAAAGCCCCGGGCUCAACCUGGGAAGGCCUCUCAAAACUAUGUGACUAGAGUACAGGAGAGGGAAGAGGAAUUUCCGGUGUAGCGGUGAAAUGCGUAGAUAUCGGAAGGAACACCAGAGGCGAAGGCGACUUUCUGGCCUGAGACUGACACUGAGGCGCGAAAGCGUGGGUAGCAAACAGGAUUAGAUACCCUGGUAGUCCACGCUGUAAACGAUGAAAACUAGCCGUUGGGUACUUCGGUAUUCAGUGGCGCAGCUAACGCAUUAAGUUUUCCGCCUGGGGAGUACGGCCGCAAGGCUA
rnacentral:rRNA from 1 species